rnacentral:hammerhead_ribozyme from 1 species
ACUCAGUUGAGGAGUCCGAAAUAGGACGAAACGCGCGUCCCGGAU